rnacentral:rRNA from 1 species
UACGGGGGGCAGCAGUGGGGAAUAUUGGACAAUGGGCGAAAGCCUGAUCCAGCCAUGCCGCGUGUGUGAAGAAGGCCUUCGGGUUGUAAAGCACUUUCAGUGGGGAAGAAAGCCUUGGGGCUAAUACCCUCGAGGAAGGACAUCACCCACAGAAGAAGCACCGGCUAACUCCGUGCCAGCAGCCGCGGUAAUACGGAGGGUGCGAGCGUUAAUCGGAAUUACUGGGCGUAAAGCGCGCGUAGGCGGUCUGAUAAGCCGGUUGUGAAAGCCCCGGGCUCAACCUGGGAACGGCAUCCGGAACUGUCAGGCUAGAGUGCAGGAGAGGAAGGUAGAAUUCCCGGUGUAGCGGUGAAAUGCGUAGAGAUCGGGAGGAAUACCAGUGGCGAAGGCGGCCUUCUGGACUGACACUGACGCUGAGGUGCGAAAGCGUGGGUAGCAAACAGGAUUAGAUACCCGUGUAGUC